UACGUAGGAGGCGAGCGUUGUCCGGAGUUACUGGGCGUAAAGGGUGCGCAGGCGGUGGCCCGCGUGGGCGGUGAAAGCUCCUGGCUCAACUGGGAGAGGGCCGUCCAGACGGGGUCACUUGAGGGGCGGAGAGGGGCGUGGAAUUCCGGGUGGAGCGGUGAAAUGCGUAGAGAUCCGGAGGAACACCGACGGCGAAGGCAG
rnacentral:rRNA from 1 species